rnacentral:rRNA from 1 species
AGAGUUUGAUUAUGGCUCAGGACGAACGCUGGCGGCGUGCUUCAUACAUGCAAGUCGAACGAGAAACUAACUUCGGUUAGUGGAAAGUGGCGGACGGGUGAGUAAUAUGUAGAGAAUCUGCCCUGGAGAGGGGGACAACAGAGGGAAACUUCUGCUAAUACCCCAUAUGAGCGUAGUUGUGAUACUAUUCUUGAAAGAUUUAUCGCUCCGGGAUGAGUCUGCAUCUGAUUAGCUAGUUGGGGGUGUAAUGGACCACCAAGGCGACGAUCAGUAGCUGGUUUGAGAGGAUGAUCAGCCACAAUGGGACUGAGACACGGCCCAUACUCCUACGGGAGGCAGCAGUAGGGAAUUUUGCGCAAUGGGCGAAAGCCUGACGCCAGCAACGCCGCGUGAUCGUAGACGCCCUUCGGGGUGUAAAGAUCUGUCAGUAGGGACGAACAAUGACUGUACCUACAGAGGAAGCACCGGCUAACUCCGUGCCAGCCGCUGC